CCUACGGGUGGCAGCAGUAGGGAAUAUUGCUCAAUGGGGGAAACCCUGAAGCAGCAACGCCGCGUGGAGGAUGAAGGUUUUAGGAUUGUAAACUCCUUUUGUGAGAGAAGAUAAUGACGGUAUCUCACGAAUAAGCACCGGCUAACUCCGUGCCAGCAGCCGCGUUAAUACGUCGGUUGCAAGCGUUACUCGGAAUCACUGGGCGUAAAGUGUGCGCAGGCGGGCUUGUAAGGCAGAUGUGAAAUCCUGUAGCUUAACUACAGAACUGCAUUUGAGACUAUGAGUCUAGAGUGUUGGAGAGGUAAGCGGAAUUCUGGGUGGAGGGGUAAAAUCCGUAGAUAUCAAGAGGAAUAC
rnacentral:rRNA from 1 species